rnacentral:rRNA from 1 species
UUGACCUCGAUCAAUAAGUACAUGCC